AAUAGAUACCCGGUAGUCCACGCCGUAAACGAUGAGUGCUAAGUGUUAGAGGGUUUCCGCCCUUUAGUGCUGCAGCUAACGCAUUAAGCACUCCGCCUGGGGAGUACGGCCGCAAGGCUGAAACUCAAAGGAAUUGACGGGGGCCCGCACAAGCGGUGGAGCAUGUGGUUUAAUUCGAAGCAACGCGAAGAACCUUACCAGGUCUUGACAUCCUCUGCCAACCCUAGAGAUAGGGCGUUCCCCUUCGGGGGACAGAGUGACAGGUGGUGCAUGGUUGUCGUCAGCUCGUGUCGUGAGAUGUUGGGUUAAGUCCCGCAACGAGCGCAACCCUUGAUCUUAGUUGCCAGCAUUCAGUUGGGCACUCUAAGGUGACUGCCGGUGACAAACCGGAGGAAGGUGGGGAUGACGUCAAAUCAUCAUGCCCCUUAUGACCUGGGCUACACACGUGCUACAAUGGAUGGUACAAAGAGCUGCGAACCCGCGAGGGUAAGCGAAUCUCAUAAAGCCAUUCUCAGUUCGGAUUGUAGG
rnacentral:rRNA from 1 species